rnacentral:rRNA from 1 species
GAUGAACGCUGGCGGCGUGCCUAAUACAUGCAAGUCGAACGAAACUUCUUUAUCACCGAGUGCUUGCACUCACCGAUAAAGAGUUGAGUGGCGAACGGGUGAGUAACACGUGGGCAACCUGCCCAAAAGAGGGGGAUAACACUUGGAAACAGGUGCUAAUACCGCAUAACCAUAGUUACCGCAUGGUAACUAUGUAUAAGGUGGCUAUACUACCGCUUUUGGAUGGGCCCGCGGCGCAUUAGCUAGUUGGUAGGGUAAAGGCUUACCAAGGCAAUGAUGCGUAGCCGAAUUGAGAGGUUGAUCGGCCACAUUGGGACUGAGACACGGCCCAAACUCCUACGGGAGGCAGCAGUAGGGAAUCUUCCACAAUGGGCGAAAGCCUGAUGGAGCAACGCCGCGUGGGUGAAGAAGGUCUUCGGAUCGUAAAACCCUGUUGUUAGAGAAGAAAGUGCGUGAGAGUAACUGUUCACGUUUCGACGGUAUCUAACCAGAAAGCCACUGCUAACUACGUG